GAGGAGCAGCCCCCCGAGCGGAGAGAAACAGCCCUCAGAGCGGGACAGGAGGAGCCCCUCAGGGCGGACAAGAGCAGCCCACAGAGCAGGGAAGGAGCAGCCCUCAGAGCGGAACAGAAGGAGCCCUCAGACGGGACAGGAGCAGCCCUCAGGGUUGACAAGAGCAACCCUCAGAGCGGACAGGAGCUGCCCUGAGAGAGGAGAGAAACAACCCUCAGAGCGGGACAGAAGGAGCCCUCAGGACAGGAGGUGCCCUCAGAGCGGGACAGAAGGAGCCCUCAGGACAGGAGCUGCCCUCAGAGCGGGACAGAAGGAGCCCUCAGGACAGGAGCUGCCCUCAGAGCGGGCAGGAGCAGCGAUCCGCCGUCCUAAACCCGCGUUCCCUUGAGCUGCUGUCCUGGUCUGCCCCCGUGCUUACAGGCCCCUGCCUAAAGGUACUGAACGAACUACAACUCCAAACGCCUGCAGCAAAGUCUCUGUUUCCUUCCCUUCUUGUGAGACAGUGAGAUCCAGUACCUACUGUGUCUUCAGCUGGCACAAAGCUCAAACAAGAAUCCUGGAAUGUUCACUUACAUGUGAACCAAAGCCAGGACUGCAUCCUUGGAAUGGGGAAGGUGAGAUCCAGGCAGGAGAACUGCAGGAGUGGAGAGCACAUGGACAAGCAAGCUGGCCCAGCCAAGAGCAUCUGAUGUUUCCUUCUCUGGGAUGUGAAGUAGCAAACACUGGUGUACCUUUAUUGUGGAAUUUCUCAGAGCUGCCUUGCUCCCAUCCCCUCUACCCCUGAAGUUUCAUGGGCCUCAUUCCAUUUCACUGGCAGCACAUGGAGGAGCAGGAUGCACCUGCAAUCCUGGAGCACAUGAUACUUCCUUGAGCUGAAGGUUCCAAGCUGGCAUGGUUCCCAGAGAACACUUCCCAUGACAACUGGCUGUUGUUUUCCAGCUCAGAGAUUCCCCAACACAUCCAGAAAUUCCCCAACACAUCCAGAAAUGCUACUCUGGGAUAUCCUGAAACGAUUUGUACACUGGGAUGGUGGGGAAGGGGAAAUUGUCUGCAUAUUCUAGAAAUUAAUAAAGAAACUGAAGUGAAAAAUAUUCAAAAUGUAUGAAUAAACCCUUUCAGUAAAUGAAAUUCACGAGUUUAUACUUGUUUGGAAGCAUUUAACCACAAGUAGCUGGUAAUUAGUCCAUUGCAGGAAUUUUUUAUCACAAAUAACCAUUCAAUGAAUUUGUAUCACAUGGUAAUUCUAGCCAUCAUGCUGACCCUUUUGACUCAAAAUUGGUUUUUAAAAGUUAAGGUAUAUGCCAGUAUUUUUAAGCUGAAUAGCAGGUAUCUAUCUCCAAGACAGACUUACCUGUAAAAACAUUCUGAGCUGUAUAAACCAGUAAAAGCAAGUGCUCCUUCAACAGUUUAAGUCUGCUCUCAGACAGCCUUUUAUAAUUUCCUUGAUUAUUAAGAAAAAUGCCUUUUUUUUUUUUUUUUUUGGAAAGGACUCAAACUACUUGAGAAGUUUAUUUGAAAGCCAAAUGUCUGUCAAAUAUUAGGCAUUUCUAAUGUUACUUCUGGUACCAAGCUACUGUGUUUUAGAAGUAAAAAUUGCAGCUGAAGUUUCAGGAAAAAUGUCAGUUUACCACGAUUAUAUAAUACCUGACCAGACAACUUCUGAUUUGUUUAGUGCUUUAAAUACAGCCUCUAGAUUAUGCUGACAGCCAUACAAAAUGAACUUGCACUUUAACCCACAGCAGUAAUAUUGAGAUUGUAAACAGCUACAAAAUGCAGCAUUUGCAUUUUCAGUGCCAUACCAAGUUGAAUUCAGAACCACCUAAAGACAAAGCAGCAGCUGGUUGAAAAAAGAAAACGUAAGUCAAAUUAUAAAGCUACAUAGUUUAGUACAUUAAAACAAAACCAAGGACAAUGGUAUUUGUAUAAGAUUCCAAAAAUAUACAGAUGGCAGGGGGGGAAUAAUCACUGUACACAACUCUGAGGUGGUUAAAGUGACCAGAGAGACUGAACAGUGCAAGACAUGCUUUUCCAGUUACAAGCUCAAAACAGAAGUGCAAAAGAAAUUAAAGCUCUGUCUGAAGUGAUUUACCUUUUAGGCUAAGGAAAGCUUAGAAUAUUGUCAUCAGUGUUACAGAGAAAUUUCCACCCCAACCCCAACACAGACACACAAAAUAGUUUAAGUUUUACCAUAAUACAGCAUUUCACUCAAAUGAUGUCCCCAGAGCUUGGUGACUCCAGGGACACUCUGCAGGUGUUCGGUGUUGGCCCAUGACCCAAGUGACGCACAGGCAGCCUCUCCAUCCUCCAGCUUUGGCUAACAAUAGAUCCCUGCCCUCCAGGCAGGGCGAGCGGCAGCCACACAGCCCGGGCUCAAACCUCCUGCCUCCCCGGACCGCCUCGCCGCGAGGAAGCCGCUGUGCUGAAAGCACAGACUGAGUUAUGGCUGAGGAACAA